GUGAGGAAUAUUGGACAAUGGGCGCAAGCCUGAUCCAGCCAUGCCGCGUGCAGGAAGACGCAUCUAUGGUGUGUUAACUGCUUUUGUACGGGAAGAAACACUCCCACGUGAGGGAGCUUGACGGUACCGUAAGAAUAAGGAUCGGCUAACUCCGUGCCAGCAGCCGCGGUAAUACGGAGGAUCCAAGCAUUAUCCGGAAUCAUUGGGUUUAAAGGGUCCGUAGGCGGUUUAAUAAGUCAGUGGUGAAAGCCCAUCGCUCAACGAUGGAACGGCCAUUGAUACUGUUAGACUUGAAUUACAAGGAAGUAACUAGAAUAUGUAGUGUAGCGGUGAAAUGCUUAGAUAUUACAUGGAAUACCAAUUGCGAAGGCAGGUUACUACUUGUGGAUUGACGCUGAUGGACGAAAGCGUGGGGAGCGAACAGGAUUAGAUACCCUAGUAGUCC
rnacentral:rRNA from 1 species